GCUGCAUGCUGUUGCAAGCAGCUGAAAACUGUAUCUAUCAGCUGUAGAUACCUGAAAAGAUUGUAGGUUGCUUUGAAGGUAGAUAAGUUUAGGUUCUGGAAAAGAACUGUUAACUGAAGUGAGCAUCACUACCCAUCUGGGGUUUAAGAUUGUCUGAAAGCUUUUUUUUUUUUUUUUUAUUCAGGGGGACAAUGAAGAUUCCAGUUCUUCUAUUACUGUACUUCAUGAUUUACAUGAAAACAGUGCACAAGAGGAUGGUGAGGAAGAAAGCAGGAGGAAAAUCUGCUUGAAAAGUUGCCUUCCUAAAUUAAGUGGGAUAAAGAGGUGACCUGAAUUUGUUUGCUUGUUUUUAAAUAAAGAACUCAUGAAAUCUUAAAAAGCA
rnacentral:lncRNA from 1 species